UCAAACUCCACUAGUCUAAAACGAAAGUUAAGGCUAGUGGUUAAUGCGAUAAGAAAUCGAGAUGGUUAUUAUGGUGAAAGCAAGAUUGUGGAUGAAAACAUGAUAGUUCUACGAAUGCGUAUCAAAGAAAUGAACAUAUCAUCAUCACAAGCUGGUCAAUUACAUAAUUCUAAAAAUUGGAUGGAAUGGGAGAAGAAGUACUAUUCACAUUAUAAUAAGGUUGUUUUUGAAAUUGUAAGGUUGUUACAAAUGUGCUUGAUGGAGACUAGGCCAGCUUUGGCUUUAGGGAUAACAACACUUUUUUCUUUGAGUGUGCCUAUCUCAACUUACUUUUUGAUAGUCCAUGCCAUCGAUAUUGCCAAGAGUUUAAUGUAAUUGCACCAAUUAUACUUAAAGUUUGGUGUUAAUUAGCUACUUUGAAACUUGAAAGAAUGGCGCAUGAUCUUUGAUCCCCAGGAUUUUAACUUGACGGUUUUGAUCUUUAAGGUUUUUUACAUUGAAUUCAUUGUAUUUCCAUAAUUAUGGGUUCACAUUUAAUAUUCAUCCAUUUUUUUUU